UACAGGGGGUGCAAACGUUGCUCGGAAUUAUUGGGCGUAAAGCGCGCGUAGGCGGUUGCUUAAGUCGGAUGUGAAAGCCCUUGGCUUAACCGAGGAAGUGCACCCGAAACUGAGCAGCUUGAGUAUGACAGAGGGUCGCGGAAUUCCCGGUGUAGAGGUGAAAUUCGUAGAUAUCGGGAGGAACACCGGUGGCGAAGGCGGCGACCUGGGUCAAAACUGACGCUGAGGCGCGAAAGCGUGGGGAGCAAACAGG
rnacentral:rRNA from 1 species